CACAGUACCUGGACCGGGCAGAGGAGUGGAAUCCAAAGAUAAAGUUAGGAGAACGUACUUCAAGGGGAAAUUUGUCCUUUCACUUGUGGUAUCAUAGUCUUUCAUGGAUCCCAUGCUGUUGUCUGUUUAUUUCUCCUUAAACAAGGAAAAAUAUACCCAGACCCAGUUUUCAUCAACAGACCAGCCCAUGGCAACCAUCACUCUACUUUCUGUCUCUAUGAAUUUGAAUACUCUGGGUAACCUCAUUCUGGGAUGAUAUGAAACCUUGCAGACGACAUGCAUGGAUCAACUCAUGAGACAGUAAAUCACUCAAAAUCUUACUACAAAAGACAACGUCCUUAUUUGCUUUUACAGAAAAAGGGCAUCUGUUGGAGGCUGGAGGAUCUACUGUCAAGAUGACUCACUCUUAUGACUAGCAGACCACUACGGGCAACUCUCCAUCUAUCCCUCCUGAUUCCUUUAUGGACAACUCUCCAUCUAUUCCACCUGAUUCCUCUAUGGACAACUCUCCAUCUAUUCCGCCUGAUUCCUCCAUGGGCAACUGUCCAUGUAUUCCACCUGACUCCCAGCUAGGCUGCAUCCUCCACCAUUGGAAUCAAUUUGACCCUGACAACCUAAAAAGAAAACUGUGAUGAUUAAUACUGAGUGUCAACUUGAUUGGAUAGAAGGAUGCAAAGUAUUGAUCCUGGAUGUGUCUGUGAGGGUAUUGCCAAAGGAGAUUAACAUUUGAGUCAGUGGGCUGGGAAAGGCAGACCCACUCUUAAUCUGGGUGGGCACCAUCUAAUUAGCUGCCAGCAUGGCUAGAAUAUAAAGCAGGCAGAAAAACAUGAAAAAACUAGAUUGGCCUAGCCUCCCGGCAUACAUCUUUCUCCUGUGCUGGAUGAUUCCUGCCUUUGAACAUCGGACUCCAAGUUCUUCAGUUUUGGGACUCACACUGGCUUUCCUUGUUCUUCAGCUUGCAGACAGUCUAUUGUG
rnacentral:lncRNA from 1 species